UACGGAGGGUCCAAGCGUUAUCCGGAAUCAUUGGGUUUAAAGGGUCCGUAGGCGGGCUAUUAAGUCAGAGGUGAAAGUUUGCAGCUCAACUGUAAAAUUGCCUUUGAAACUGGUAGUCUUGAAUUAUUAUGAAGUGGUUAGAAUAAGUAGUGUAGCGGUGAAAUGCAUAGAUAUUACUUAGAAUACCAAUUGCGAAGGCAGAUCACUAAUAAUAUAUUGACGCUGAUGGACGAAAGCGUGGGGAGCGAACAGG
rnacentral:rRNA from 1 species